ACGAGCCCGGGCCUCGCCCUCGCCCCCGCCCGCCGGACCCCGCCGCGGCGCCGUUCUGUUCCCCGCACGAGCGGCGGCGCCUCGCCGGUGACGGCGCACCCCUAUAAUCCGUGGCCUGUGUAAUGCCAAGGAAAACAUCCAGGGAUUUACUUGACCCAGCUCCUACAGCCUGUCGUGGGUGGGAAGUACCUUUUACAUGUUCACUGCUUCAUGUUCAGGUCAAGAAACCUUCUGCUAGAGGGUAGGAGAAGCAAACAUUUAGGAAUGAAGGAAGAAUAAAAGCAGAUUGCAGUUUCCCUGCGGUCCUGUGGGGUGAAGGGUGCUGAAUAGCACUUGAAUUUGUAACAGCAUCAGUAGAAGAGCUGUGCAGUGCCUGUCCCACAGGUGGGGACACGUCCUGUAUGUCUGCAGAACAGAGCCACGUGUGGGUGCUGCUUGCUGACGACUGAGACCGACAAGUGCAGUUCUCUCCUGCACCCGUGUGGGACAGGCAGCAGGAAAACAAGCACGUCCCCUUGACUCUCCUAAUCCGGAUCUCCUCCGAUGAGUACUAAGGACGCUGCUCUCCCAGAAUGGCCUCUCAGGCCCCAGGGCAGCAGGGAGCAGUGCUGA